UCUGAGCGUCUUAUUUUAAUAAGUCAAAACUUUCAACAACGGAUCUCUUGGUUCUGGCAUCGAUGAAGAACGCAGCGAAAUGCGAUAAGUAAUGUGAAUUGCAGAAUUCAGUGAAUCAUCGAAUCUUUGAACGCACAUUGCGCCCAUUAGUAUUCUAG
rnacentral:rRNA from 1 species